rnacentral:rRNA from 1 species
CGCGUCUGAUUAGCUGGUUGGUGAGGUAACGGCCCACCAAGGCCAUGAUCAGUAGCCGGUCUGAGAGGAUGAACGGCCACAUUGGGACUGAGACACGGCCCAAACUCCUACGGGAGGCAGCAGUGGGGAAUCUUCCGCAAUGGGCGAAAGCCUGACGGAGCAACGCCGCGUGAGUGAUGAAGGUCUUCGGAUUGUAAAACCUCUGUUGUCAGGGACGAAAGCAGCGGGGAACAACAAGUCCUGUUGUUGACGGUACCUGACGAGGAAGCCACGGCUAACUACGUGCC